rnacentral:rRNA from 1 species
ACUCCUACGGGAGGCAGCAGUGGGGAAUAUUGCACAAUGGGCGCAAGCCUGAUGCAGCCAUGCCGCGUGUGUGAAGAAGGCCUUCGGGUUGUAAAGCACUUUGUCGGGAAGAAAUCACAGGGUUAAUACCCCUGCUGCGUCUGACGGUACCCGAAGAAUAAGCACCGGCUAACUCCGUGCCAGCAGCCGCGGUAAUACGGAGGGUGCAAGCGUUAAUCGGAAUUACUGGGCGUAAAGCGAGUGUAGGUGGCUAUGUAAGUCGGAUGUGAAAUCCCGGCGUCACUAGGACUGCAUCGAUACUGCAUGGCUAGAGUCUGAUAGAGGGAAGUGGAAUUCCAGGUGUAGCGGUGAAAUGCGUAGAUAUCUGGAAGAACACCAGUGGCGAAGG